rnacentral:rRNA from 1 species
CAGAAACUUAAAUAGAAGUUGACGGGGCCCGGCACAAGCGGUGGAGUAUGUGGUUUAAUUCGAUGCAACGCGAAGAACCUUACCUGGUCUUGACAUCCCGGAGACCCUUAGGAACUAAGGGGUGCUUCCAUCUGGAAGAAUCUGGAGACAGGUGCUGCAUGGCUGUCGUCAGCUCGUGUCGUGAGAUGUUGGGUUAAGUCCCGCAACGAGCGCAACCCUUGCCUUUAGUUGCCAGCAGUUCGGCUGGGCACUCUAAAGGGACUGCCGGUGUUAAACCGGAGGAAGGUGGGGAUGACGUCAAGUCCUCAUGGCCUUUAUGACCAGGGCUACACACGUACUACAAUGGCCGAUACAAAGGGCAGCGACACUGCGAGGUGAAGCCAAUCCCGUAAAAUCGGUCUCAGUCCGGAUUGGAGUCUGCAACUCGACUCCAUGAAGUUGGAAUCGCUAGUAAUCGUGGAUCAGCAUGCCACGGUGAAUACGUUCCCGGGCCUU